UACGAAGGGGGCGAGCGUUGUUCGGAUUUACUGGGCGUAAAGCGCACGUAGGCGGAUUGUUAAGUCAGGGGUGAAAUCCUGGAGCUCAACUCCAGAACUGCCUUUGAUACUGGCAAUCUAGAGUCCGGAAGAGGUGAGUGGAACUCCUAGUGUAGAGGUGGAAUUCGUAGAUAUUAGGAAGAACACCAGUGGCGAAGGCGGCUCACUGGUCCGGUACUGACGCUGAGGUGCGAAAGCGUGGGGAGCAAACAGG
rnacentral:rRNA from 1 species